rnacentral:misc_RNA from 1 species
GAGUUCAUGCCCUUCGGGGUAGAUCUCCCACCCUUUGUAUACUAUACCUUUGUUUCUUUGGCGGGCCGCCUAGCUACUGGCUUCGGCUGGUAAGUGCCCGCCAGAGGAUCCAAAACCCUGAAUUACUAGUGUCGUCUGAGUAAAAUAUUUAAUAUCUAAAACUUUCAACAACGGAUCUCUUGGCUCU